GACGAACCGUGCAAACGUUGUUCGGAAUCACUGGGCUUAAAGGGCGCGUAGGCGGGUCACCAAGUCCGGGGUGAAAUCUUUCGGCUCAACCGGAAAAGUGCCUUGGAUACUGGUGGUCUUGAGUGAGGUAGGGGCAUGUGGAACCUUCGGUGGAGCGGUGAAAUGCGUUGAUAUCGGAAGGAACUCCGGUGGCGAAAGCGACGUGCUGGACCUCUUCUGACGCUGAGGCGCGAAAGCUAGGGGAGCAAGCGGG
rnacentral:rRNA from 1 species